UACAGAGGGUGCAAGCGUUAAUCGGAAUUACUGGGCGUAAAGCGUGCGUAGACGGUCAUGUAAGUCGGGUGUGAAAGCCCCGGGCUCAACCUGGGAAUUGCAUUCGAGACUGCAUGGCUAGGAUGCGGAAGAGGGAAGCGGAAUUCCCAGUGUAGCGGUGAAAUGCGUAGAUACUGGGAGGAACACCGGUGGCGAAGGCGGCUACCUGGACCGGUUCUGACGCUGAUGCGCGAAAGCGUGGGUAGCAAACAGG
rnacentral:rRNA from 1 species